rnacentral:rRNA from 1 species
UCGUACGCUUCUUUUUCCACCGGAGCUUGCUCCACCGGAAAAAGAAGAGUGGCGAACGGGUGAGUAACACGUGGGUAACCUGCCCAUCAGAAGGGGAUAACACUUGGAAACAGGUGCUAAUACCGUAUAACAAUCGAAACCGCAUGGUUUUGAUUUGAAAGGCGCUUUCGGGUGUCGCUGAUGGAUGGACCCGCGGUGCAUUAGCUAGUUGGUGAGGUAACGGCUCACCAAGGCCACGAUGCAUAGCCGACCUGAGAGGGUGAUCGGCCACAUUGGGACUGAGACACGGCCCAAACUCCUACGGGAGGCAGCAGUAGGGAAUCUUCGGCAAUGGACGAAAGUCUGACCGAGCAACGCCGCGUGAGUGAAGAAGGUUUUCGGAUCGUAAAACUCUGUUGUUAGAGAAGAACAAGGAUGAGAGUAACUGUUCAUCCCUUGACGGUAUCUAACCAGAAAGCCACGGCUAACUACGUGCCAGCAGCCGCGGUAAUACGUAGGUGGCAAGCGUUGUCCGGAUUUAUUGGGCGUAAAGCGAGCGCAGGCGGUUUCUU